rnacentral:rRNA from 1 species
UACGUAGGGGGCUAGCGUUGUCCGGAAUCAUUGGGCGUAAAGCGCGUGUAGGCGGUCCGGUAAGUCCGCUGUGAAAGUCGAGGGCUCAACCCUCGAAUGCCGGUGGAUACUGUCGGGCUAGAGUACGGAAGAGGCGAGUGGAAUUCCUGGUGUAGCGGUGAAAUGCGCAGAUAUCAGGAGGAACACCGGUGGCGAAGGCAGCACUCUGGGACGUGACUGACGCUGAGACGCGAAAGCGUGGGGAGCAAACAGG